rnacentral:rRNA from 1 species
AUGAACGCUGGCGGCGUGCCUAAUACAUGCAAGUCGAGCGAACAGACGAGGAGCUUGCUCCUCUGACGUUAGCGGCGGACGGGUGAGUAACACGUGGAUAACCUACCUAUAAGACUGGGAUAACUUCGGGAAAUCGGAGCUAAUACCGGAUAAUAUAUUGAACCGCAUGGUUCAAUAGUGAAAGACGGUUUUGCUGUCACUUAUAGAUGGAUCCGCGCCGCAUUAGCUAGUUGGUAAGGUAACGGCUUACCAAGGCAACGAUGCGUAGCCGACCUGAGAGGGUGAUCGGCCACACUGGAACUGAGACACGGUCCAGACUCCUACGGGAGGCAGCAGUAGGGAAUCUUCCGCAAAGGGCGAAAGCCUGACGGAGCAACGCCGCGUGAGUGAUGAAGGUCUUCGGAUCGUAAAACUCUGUUAUUAGGGAAGAACAAAUGUGUAAGUAACUAUGCACGUCUUGACGGUACCUAAUCAGAAAGCCACGGCUAACUACGUG